UUGAACUUAAUUGCUGCAUUAUCUGUGUUGUCAGGAUAAUGUCUUUGAUGUUGUAACAUGGAUUAAUAACAAAACUAACAAAAUAUCAAACCAGAAGGUGUUGCUUGUCCGUAGGUUCACCUAAAUCAAAAAUGUAACGGGAUGCUCGCAGCUUUCUUUUU
rnacentral:telomerase_RNA from 1 species